AUGACUGAACUCCAGUUUCUGUGGUUGUUGUCGCCACCGCCGCUGCUAGGGCUGGCGAUACAAUGCCGCUGAGGAAUGAUCCUUUAAACAACCACUGGCAACGGAACCUCAGCCCUUUAGGGUCAGAAUAUGAUUGCUUUUACCAUCAGAAGUUUAAAUCUUCAGGGGGGAAAUGAAGCAGAGCGGUGCUCAAGGAAUGUUUACAGCUAAGGAGGCUCCACGGAGGAUUGCCUGAAGGACAUGAACUCCAUCCAUCUCUCCAGCUAGUUUAGACUAUAUCUCAAGAUCAAGAUGUGGAAGCCGGGAUUCCAAGAUGACACAGGUGGCAAUGUUGGCCAUCAAGCUAAAGCGUCAUACCAUGCUGGCCUCUUC